rnacentral:rRNA from 1 species
CCUACGGGAGACAGCAGUGAGGAAUAUUGGUCAAUGGACGAGAGUCUGAACCAGCCAAGUAGCGUGAAGGAUGACUGCCCUAUGGGUUGUAAACUUCUUUUAUAUGGGAAUAAAACGUUCCACGUGUGGGAUUUUGUAUGUACCAUAUGAAUAAGGAUCGGCUAACUCCGUGCCAGCAGCCGCGGUAAUACGGAGGAUCCGAGCGUUAUCCGGAUUUAUUGGGUUUAAAGGGAGCGUAGGUGGAUUGUUAAGUCAGUUGUGAAAGUUUGCGGCUCAACCGUAAAAUUGCAGUUGAAACUGGCAGUCUUGAGUACAGUAGAGGUGGGCGGAAUUCGUGGUGUAGCGGUGAAAUGCUUAGAUAACACGAAGAACUCCGAUUGCGAAGGCAGUUCACUGGACUGCAACUGACACUGAGGCUCGAAAGUGUGGGUAUCAAACAGGAUUAGAGACCCGUGUAGUC